AACGUCCCUGAGCACUGAGCGGAACGAAAUCUUGGGCUGACGCUGUCCUUGUCCAUUUAAUUUAGAAAAUGUGUUGUGUCCAGAAGUCGAUUACAAUUGAAGAUGGAGUUGUGUCACGCGUUAAAUGCGAUCUUGAAGCACUCAUCAAAGACACCUGAUGAAGCCCUACCCAUCGGAUAAGAGAUUCAUCACCUGGUAUUGAGGGUAAUGAGCGAGGCGUGGAGGUGAACACAUUAAACCAAGCCGACCUUGCCCAGCCCAGCCAGGAGGGAUGAUAGAGACGGUACAGGAACAGAGGGGUAGCGGCCAGGACCAAACCAAACUCCCUCUACAUCCCUUCCAACUCCUCCAUGGUGGCCCCACACCUGUCCAACACUCGGAGGCGAUUUGACACAACAACAACAACACUAGAACAGAUUGAAGGGGAAGGCAAAAAGCUGGCUUGAGGAGUGUGCUGGAGACAGACAGACUGGAAAAGUGGAACUUCUCUGGUGCUGAGAGAAUGCGCUCCAGCUCAAGCUGAAUCUACAGUAAAGGAGAGGGGCUGAGUCACUGGCUUACUGGGGCUCUCUCAUGCCGUCCCUGGAAGGGGUGCGUCACCUGAGUGGGUUGAUUCACUGAUGUGGUCAUCCUGUCUGGGUUGGCACCCCCCUUGGGUUGUGCCAUGGCGGAGAUCUUUGCGGGCUAUACUCAGCUUUGUCUCAGGAUGGACCUGAGCCCUAGGACCAUGCCCCAGGACUACCUGACAUGAUGACUCCUUGCUGUCCCCAGUCCACCUGGCCGUGCUGCUGCUCCAGUUUCAACUGUUCUACCUUAUUAUUAUUCGACCAUGCUGGUCAUUUAUGAACAUUUGAACAUCUUGGCCAUGUUCUGUUAUAAUCUCCACCCGGCACAGCCGGAAGAGGACUGGCCACCCCACAUAUGCUCUCUCUAAUUCUCUUUCUUUCUUUCUCUCGGAGGACAUGAGCCCUAGGACCAUGCCC